rnacentral:tRNA from 1 species
GGGGGUAUGGCUUAGUGGUACAGUGCUUGUUUACCAUGCAUGAGGCCUUGGGUUCAAUUCCCAGCACCACAA